UACGUAGGGUGCAAGCGUUAAUCGGAAUUACUGGGCGGAAAGCGUGCGCAGGCGGUUCUAUAAGACAGAUGUGAAAUCCCCGGGCUCAACCUGGGAACUGCAUUUGUGACUGUAGAGCUGGAGUACGGCAGAGGGGGAUGGAAUUCCGCGUGUAGCAGUGAAAUGCGUAGAUAUGCGGAGGAACACCGAUGGCGAAGGCAAUCCCCUGGGCCUGUACUGACGCUCAUGCACGAAAGCGUGGGGAGCAAACAGG
rnacentral:rRNA from 1 species